GUCUUGGGUUUUUCAUCGGGGAGUGGGAGUGGACUGAAGGCUUGGCCGCUCCGCCUCACUGAGCCGGCUCAGCCAGCGCAGCUGUUCCUGGAACGCCAGUCCCUUAGGAUGGGAGAGAGCGGAGAAGGCAAAGAGGAACAGACUGGGAAAGAGACUGGAUAGAUUCUAAUAUGGUGAAAACAUCAGAAGCAGUUCAGGGACUAGGAAGUGGGAACUCUAGAGAUGACAGACAUUCUGCUGGGUGGUUUUUAAAGUUUCUUCCAGAGUCAUCUGCCUCAUUAACAACAAUUUUUGUGGAAGAAGUCUGUCUUUGAUUUUAUGAACUCACGUGACUCCUUGGUCUGUUACGAAUGCACAAUGCUCCAGUCCUUCAAUAAGCCCAUUACAUACUUUCACCAUGUCAUCUAUAGGUGCUUUUUCUCCAGUGU
rnacentral:lncRNA from 1 species